GAUGAACGCUGGCGGCGUGCCUAAUACAUGCAAGUCGAGCGAACAGACGAGGAGCUUGCUCCUCUGACGUUAGCGGCGGACGGGUGAGUAACACGUGGAUAACCUACCUAUAAGACUGGGAUAACUUCGGGAAACCGGAGCUAAUACCGGAUAAUAUAUUGAACCGCAUGGUUCAAUAGUGAAAGACGGUUUUGCUGUCACUUAUAGAUGGAUCCGCGCCGCAUUAGCUAGUUGGUAAGGUAACGGCUUACCAAGGCAACGAUGCGUAGCCGACCUGAGAGGGUGAUCGGCCACACUGGAACUGAGACACGGACCAGACUCCUACGGGAGGCAGCAGUAGGGAAGCUUCCGCAAUGGGCGAAAGCCUGACGGAGCAACGCCGCGUGAGUGAUGAAGGUCUGCGGAUCGUAAAACUCUGUUAUUAGGGAAGAACAAAUGUGUAAGUAACUAUGCACGUCUUGACGGUACCUAAUCAGAAAGCCACGGCUAAUUACGU
rnacentral:rRNA from 1 species